UCUGAAGUAAUUUAUUCCAUUUUGGCCUGUGAAUCUGGGGGCUGGGCUGGGCCAGGCUGAGCUACUUCUUCGUGUUAUAAAGGUGGGUGAAACCAUGCAUUGGACAGAUGGAUGGACAGAUGGGUGUAUGAAUUGUAUGGGUGGGUGGGCAGACAAACAGGUGGACAGUGUCUGCCCAGCUACCUGGAAAACCCUGGGAUUUCUGUCCUCUUGACUGGGGUAGAGGCUGGGAUACCUCAGCUUAGCCAUACCUUGGUACAUCCCAGAGUUUCAGAGCUGUUCCCUGCUUCAUGUCUUCCCUGGGACCCACCUCCAUAGUAUACCAGGAGCUGCUGGGUGACCAGGUGAUGGAUCAGCUGAGCACCUGUAUGACCAUGCCUGCAAAGCUGUCUGCUUGGUGCAUGUGGCCUCUCUGCUGCACCUGUCUGUAAUCUUGGCUUCUUGUAGCACUGUGUUCCUGGGAAUUCCUGGCCCCUAGAUUUCUGCACAUAUGGUUCCUCCUUCCCUCCCUUCCCUGGAGUUCACUCCCUCCUCCUCACCUUCCUCUUCUUCCUCUUCUUCCUCCUCUUCCUCUUCCUCCUCCUCCUUCUUCCCCUCCUCCUCCUCUCCUUCUCCGAGCAUCACUGCUUUGACUGUGACUGUCCCCAGUUUUCUACCCCAGAACUAUAAAAUGAACUUGAAGUAUGAGUCCCAGGAGGUGGUGGUCACAUGAUGUCAUCUCUCCUCGUGCCUCUAAGAAAGCUGGGAAUGUUUGCUGGAUGAAUACAUGACCUUGCUGAGCAACCUCAGCUGAGCCUUCUUUUAGUGUGGAUUCUGAGCUCUACUGUAGCUUGAGGACUCAGGCAGACGCUCCAUGGAUGUGGGUGAGACUCACCUUGAACUUCAGGGCCUCUUAUGGGAUUCUGCAGACCUAGAAAGGCCGACUCCGCAGGCAGGGUCACAGGCUCUAUUCGGUGUACAGCAGCUGUCUCUAGACUUAGGCUACAAUACACCUCCAGGGGCAGAGACACCCACCCAGCUCAGGGAGGGAAUGAAGCAUCCUGGGUCCCAAGGUGAGCUGGUGCAGUGGAGAAAGGGUCCCAAGUCUAUCCCACGACCCCUUCAUGCACACUGAACUCCAACACAGAUUCCCUCAGGACAAAGGAUUAUGGGGAAUAACUCAGAAAUGUUAGCAGCUACACGGUCACCACACAGGCUUCUUCUCUCUGACCAACUCCCUACAAGGUGAUGAUGACUCCUAGGAUACCCUCUGACCCCAAGCCUAGGAAACAACAUUCUGAGGAGUAGAGAGGCAACAUCCCCCAGACUAGGGUGAUGGAGCCUGCAGAUGAUGCCUCCUCACUGAAUCACAGCAUUUAACCCUUCAGGAGAUCUCACUGUACAGAUGGGUUCCUCAGAGAGGCUGAGGAAGGGGCAGAAGUGAGAUGGACACAGGCCUCUCUGCCAUGGCCCACAGAGACACAUGGUGUCGGGGUUAGCCUCAGCCCUCCACGGAGGACCAGUCACUCUGAGUUCGGGAGGGCUUUCUUCUUUCCAAAUGGGUGGAUUUUUCUGUCUCCACUCACAGUCAGUUGCAAACAUUUAUUCAGCCCUUUCUUGGGACUGGGAUUCGGUAAUACAAUAUGGCUGCAGACAAGAGAGCAUGUGCAGGGAGGAAAGGCCCAGGAGCCUCUGGCUUAGUGUGUGUGUGUGUGUGUGUGUGUGUGUGUGUGUGUGUGUGUGUGUGUGUGAAGUCAGGGUGGGGUUUAAACUGAAGCCCGAAGGGAUUGCAGGAAGCACAGAAGGCAGGGAGGCCAGCAGAAGUAUGGGGAAAGACAUUCCAGGGGCCAGGUGACCCGGCUCCUCCUAGUCUGACAUCCCUCUGUUCUGGGUGACUCCCACCUACUCUUUUCUCCACUGAUGAGUCAUCCUUGAGAGGCCUGCCAAGACCGGUAGUAACCUCCUCUGGGUCCCCACAGUUUCUGCCACCUCCUGACUUGCCCAGAGGACUAUGAGCUCCCUGGAGCACAGCCAUCUAUGGGUACUGUUGUGACCCUAGCAGUGAGUGAUGGAUGGAGAUGUGAGCUAUGCUUCGGGGUGAAGGCUGCCCAACCUGGUGCCCAUGGACCUGCAGGCAGAUCCCUAACCGCUCCUCCCAGAAGGUGCGGCGGGGACACAGGGCCCACCCAACACUGGCAGUGUGGAGACUGUUGGCUGACAAUGGGGCAAGGCCUCAAUCAAUGCUCAGCUGGAUUGAUGCUCAGCUGUUUGCAAACUGUUGUGGAUACAUGGAUGCACGGGUGCACAGACAUGCACACAAGCAUCGACACACAGACACACACAUGUCCUUGGACUCAGAAGCAGGAAGGUAGACGGAUCUUUCCCAAGACUGUAUUAAAUCCAGCAAUGAACAUGCCUCCAGUCCCUGACUUGAUCCUUGCCACUUUUGGAUGAGGACUUUGUGGUUUAGGAAUCGGGCCUUUGAAGUCCACGGGACAGGGUGCAAACUCCUGGGAACUGCUAGCCUCAGGAUCAAAGGGUGAAACCUGGGACCCAGACCUUUGUGGCAGGGAGGGAUAGACCCAUAGAACUCCAACCUGAGAGUUUCACAGUGGUUGCAUCACAGAACAUCUUGUAGCCUCACAGAAGCAGAGGUGAGACCAGGCCUGGCAGGGUCAGCUGGGCUCUGGAUGUGGAAACCUGGUUCUGGUCCACUGGAUAUAGGCCUCAGCGGCCUGGUCUCUGUAGGGAUGCCAACCAUGGUUGGGAUAGUCAGACUCAGGAACCUCAUUUCUGCUUCCACAUUCUGCUGCUGGAACCCAAGCUGAUGACAUCUGUGAGGACCCGGGCAUCUUCAGAGCCCAGCUGGGCAGGACUGUGGUGGCCCUGGGCCGUUAUCUGGCACACAGCAGGUGGAGACUGCACACGGCCAGCGGCUGCCUGGCUUGUAUUUUUAACACCCGGCUCUCGGGCGGUGACAAGGUGUCUGCUAAGUGAGGUAAUAGGCCAUUGAGUGGGUUCCGCUUUGCCGAGGGCCUUCAUAAAUCACAUCUGUCAGGGGCCCGUGUCACGGUCCAGGGCAGUGGCCUCACGGCGGCAAUUAGCCAGCCUGUGCUGGGUGGCUGGACGGCAGCCUGCUCCCCAGCCCUGUGGCCUGGCAGGGCUGCAGGGGGCUUGGCCCUCUCCUUUUUCUGUUGCCAGCCACUGCUCUUUGGAGACAGAUGGAAGGAGAAUUAUGUUCCGGACCCCAGGCACACUGCAGAGUCCAGCUGCGGGGACAAGAGCUUCUUCUCGGGACCCGUGUCCUCUGACACUGAUUCUCCUGAGGUAGCACAGGGCAGAACUUAACCCAGGGCUGCUGCCUGUGCCAUUCGUGAGGCUAUGAGGGUGGUCACAGGUGACAUCCGUGGAUGCUCUUGGUAGCAGUCUGUAAAGUUCCCCACACUGCUCUGGGAUACACAACCAUGGGAGAACGAGGUAGAAGGCCAGGAUGAAUCAGCUUCUUCAUUUUCUCUUCAUUUUAUGGGUAGAGAACUGAGGUGCCAUUAGCUUAGAGACACAGAUGGUGGGAAGGCAGGCAAGUUUGUUUCCUCCCUGUGUGAUGGUGUGACCUGGACUUUGGACAGAGAGAGAGGUCCUACCUGAUUAGCAGCAGCCCAGUCCCUGUGCCUCCUACCAUAUUGGGCCACAGGUGAGUCCUGGCUUAGGACACAGUGGGGGUAGGGGGCUCACUGAAGAUCAAGAAAUUUGUUGCAGUGAUGUAAGCAGAGAAACUGGGACCAGCAAGGGAUGAAACUCCCUGAAGUUGAUACACACCUCUGCAGUCUCCCAAUCCUGGUGUUAGCAGGCUCCAUGCACAUUUUCACGCUUAGCAAUAGACAUGGGAAGGAGGCCCAAAGCCCAGAGGUCCCUCAGUGUUCCCUUGCCUCAAGACAUCAAUCCUGCUCUGACUCACUCAGUGCACACUCACAGGCAGAACACAAGAUAUGCGCACACUCCACCACACUCUCUAUGUACACCUACACACGUACACGCACACACACACAUACAUACACACGGACACAAAUGCAUAGUCUUUAUGUACACCCUUGUAUACACACACUGUACAUACAUUCACACAACACAAACAUGCAAACAUGGACAGUCUGUAUGUACACUCACAUGCCCCCACAUACACACUCCAUAUGUACACUCAUAUGCACACACAUGCACACCUCAUAUGAACACUCACAUGCACACUUCAUAUGUAUACUCACAUCUACACGCAUACACAUUAUGUGUGUACAUCUCGCCACCACAUGCACACAUACCUCACACUCUGUAUGUAUACCUUCAUACACGCACACACACACACACCAUAAACAUAUAUUCAUGUAAACAACACAAACAUGUACACACACAUGCCCACGCAUGCAUACUCUGUAUGCACACCCACAUAUAGAUAAUACACUACAUGCAUACCCUCUCCACACUUUGUAUGUAUACCCUCAUGCACACACUGCACACACACAUACUGUACACACACACAUAUGUACACACAUACAUACUCUGUUUGUACACCCUCAUACACAUACACUACAUGCAUACAUUCAUAUGGACAACACACACAUUGUUCACACUCAACACCCUCCACUUACGACUUGCACAUCCGCUCAAUCUGCACACACUAUGAACACAUGCAGGCACAGAAACACACACAUGUACAUGGCUCAUGUGUACUGUUCUUUUCAGCCAGCUGGAAGGAGCUCAGACACAGACUCACAACAUCCUGUCAUUCUACACAUAGUUCAGAGUACCUAUCCUGUGCAAUCCAGACACUAAAGGACCUCUGCCCCUGCAGCACCUGUUUCUCUGAAUGCCCCAGAGCUGCAGUUUCACACAUACAUACAUACCCCCCACAGCAGUCACAGAGCUGCAGUUUCAGGGCUCCUUCCCUCAGAGCUACUCCUACUUUCUGUUUGCAAUACCCCUAUCCCUACUACUGGAGUGUGGGCAGGUGGGGUUUAGACAGUAAGGAUGGUGGGUUCUACCUUUGCCUCAGGCUUCCUUAGGAUGCCCAGAUGGCCAUCCUGUGACUGCCAGAAGCCACUCCCAUGCCCUGCCAGCUUGUACAACCUUGAUUGAGACAGGGCACAGGGAAUCCUGAGCAGUGAUGCUCUGCCUCAGGAGGCCAGACUGGGGCAGAACAGGCCAGAGGGCAUCAGGUGCUUAGGGGGAGAGUGAAGACCCACUAGGGCUUAUUCCUGAAUCGGUCUACAGCGAAAGGACUGAACACCCGAACCCAACUUCCGGGCUCACACGGGGCCUCCAGGAACACAGGCCUCCUUCCUGCCUGGCCUGUAUCCAUUGGUGACUGUUCUUACACUGGGGGUGGGGCUGGACCCUGGAGACCACCAUCUGCCUGCCUGUUGGCUGUCUCUGUUCCCUGGGUCACCAGAGGCUGGGAUCGAUGGGGGCCCAGCUGCCCCAGCACCUCCCUAUUACCAGCAGGCCUGGCCUAGCCCUAAUUGCUUACACUGAGGCGUCUGCAAGGGCCCAGGUGGCAGAGCCCAGGCUGCCUCUGGCUCCCCUAAGGCAUGGCCUGGCUGGGGACAGGGGAACAUGGAAGAAAGGCAGUGCCGGGCGGGGCAUCUGUGAGUCCCAAUUAAGGCCUGAGUGGCAUAGUCUGAGAGCCCCUAAUUUGGUUUGGGACAAUGAGCUGGGGAAAUUGGCUCUAGUCUGAGUAGGCUGAAGCCCCAUCUGUCCAGUCUGGGAAGUGCUUCUAUAGUCCCAGUGCUGGGCACUGGGGGAGGGCACAAACUGGUCCCUCUGUGGGCUACCGGGUGCUACAGUGUACCAGAAUCCUCCCUCAGUGCCACCAGCAGAGCCUGUGUUUGGGGAAGGUUAACAUUUCUACCCACCCCCAUUCUGCAGAUGGGUAAACUGAGGCCCAGGAAGGCAUCAGAGCUGUUUACCUGGGAGAUUUCUCAUAGCCUGCUGCCCAUCAGCUGAAGGUUUCUUUGGUUUUGAUAUUCAGGAGUGCUGCGGAACCAGGCCUGUUCCAGUACGUUCAUUCAAGUUUCCAGUUAACAGAGGAACAUCCUUCCUAGGGUGGUUGUAGGACCUCCACUAAAGGCAGGCUGUCCUGAAGAGAGGGAGGGGAUCCGCAGGAAGAUGCAAGGUCUCCCUCCUGAAGACACUUUGCCUCACCUGCGUGUCCCACGAGCCCCGCUUCCGUCAUCAUGUUCUCUGCCAAAGCCCGUUGGGGGAAGUCCAGUCUCCCGCAACAGCAGCCCAGCCACCCUUGCUAGGUUCCCGAGAUGCCUCCAGGGUCUGGGCUUUUCUCCAGCACGUGGCUCCCUGCUACCAUCCGAGAAGUCCCGGAUGCUGAGGACUUGCCCUGGAGGAUUGCCGACACACGGACAUUUAUGUCUUCCCCACGGGAAAAAACACCCCAUUAGAAGGCUGUGUGCCCUUGGGCAAGUAGCUCCCUGUUUCUGGGCUCGCUUUGCUCAUCUGUUAAGCAACUUCGUGUUGGUGUGUACCCAGGGAAUGAACAGAAAGCAUGAGCAGAGUCUGGCUGGCACCCAGGAGCAGUAAAUACCAAGGAUUGAUUAUCGUAUUUUGGCAAAAGUCUGGUUCCUCAUAGGAUCUCCAGGGAGCUGCAGCGGCCGGUACCAGAGGAAGGGCUACUGGAAAUGGCUCCAGGGCAUCAAAUUCUGUAAGAGAGGAUCAGGGUGGAUGCCCAUUCUACAGAGGGAAAACUGAGGCUCCUGACAGAACAGUGGCUUACCCCACUGGCUUCCCACUGCAUCCUUCUGCCUUAGCUUCUCACAAGCCUGUCAUUCAGCUCACCAGAUUCUCUCUUGGGGACACAGGAGAACUGUCUGCCCCUGUGUUGUGGGUUCUCAGAGCUCUGAGAGGCUGGGUUCCCAGCCUCUCAGUGGGAAUUCUAGCACAUGAAGCAAAGAGAUGAAGAACGUGUAGCUGAGAAGCUGAUGAUGCUGUGCAUUUGUUGACAGUCGGACGAUUGUCUCCAUCACGUGGCAACGAAUGGCUGUCAGAGGCAGAAACAAAGUCAGUCGUACAGAUCUCUCUCUCUCUCUCUCUCUCUCUCUCGCUCUCUCUUAAAACAAACAAAUAAAUAAACUAAAAUCAAUCAAACAAAACAAAGAAAA